GUGAGGAAUAUUGGUCAAUGGGCGAGAGCCUGAACCAGCCAAGUCGCGUGAAGGAAGUCGGCCCUACGGGUUGUAAACUUCUUUUGCAAUGGAAUAAAAAGAGUUACGUGUAAUUCAUUGUAUGUACAUUGCGAAUAAGGAUCGGCUAACUCCGUGCCAGCAGCCGCGGUAAUACGGAGGAUCCGAGCGUUAUCCGGAUUUAUUGGGUUUAAAGGGUGCGUAGGCGGAUUGGAAAGUCAGCGGGGAAAGUUUGCAGCUUAACUGUAAAAUUGCCAUUGAAACUGUCAGUCUUGAGUGCAAAUGAGGUAGGCGGAAUGUGUUGUGUAGCGGUGAAAUGCAUAGAUAUAACACAGAACACCAAUUGCGAAGGCAGCUUACUGGGAUGCAACUGACGCUGAGGCACGAAAGCGUGGGGAUCAAACAGGAUUAGAAACCCGUGUAGUCC
rnacentral:rRNA from 1 species